rnacentral:tRNA from 1 species
GCGAGAGUGGCGGAAUUGGCAGACGCGCCGGGUUUAGGUCCCGGUACCUUCGGGCGUAGGGGUUCGAGUCCCCUCUCUCGCA